ensembl:lncRNA
CUUCUGUGCAACAAGUAAAUUUUCACUCUGAAGGCUGUGAUCCCCACAGAAGUAGCCUGCAAACUCAGGUAGCUUUUCUCACUCUUAAAAGGUCUUGAACACUCUUGCAGAGAAACACCAACAAAAAAGUGUAGUCAUCUGGGAAGAGAAGAGCCUGAGAGAAAAAUAACACUUGGACUGGCACCAGGAGGGUCUGUGCAACAUUCACUUGCCUGCAGUGGCUCCUGUGAGCCCCAGUAAGACCACCCACAGCAGUGAAUCAAUGAGAAUCCUGACCAAAACUCCAAGCAAUCCUGAAAAGAAGCUACAAAAAUGGAAAGCAGGGAUGGAACCAACACAUUUCAACCAAGUCCUUUGUGCCAGGAGCUUGGAUUAUACUCUUCUCUGUUCCAUUGACUUCUGGAAUGGCAUCAGAAGGAAGACAUUUUACCAACAAUUCUCUGACCUGCUCUGGAUCCCUGGAACCCACAUCUGUCUCUCUGCCCCUAACCAAUCUCUAUCUCUCUCCUUUUUCCCCCCUUCCUUCUUCUCUCCCUUCUGUCAUUCCUUUCUUCCCCCUCCUUUUCUGGCCGCAAUGCAAAGAAUAGUCUUUGCUUUGCUGUGUGUCAUCUGCAUUGGUGUUUCACCUCACUCCAGACACAAAAUUAUGGAGCCCAAACACCAUCCAAGAAACUCCUGAAACCAUGGUUGAAAAUACUACAUCCCAUUUAGUUUGUUUAGUGACGGACAGUUCCAUAAACUAUCCCAUGGGAUCUGACUGUUUGAACAGCUGAGGCUGCCGUAUUUCUAGGUAAAUAACUGCCUUCGCAUCUCAGUUGGGGUCUUGGGACUCUGUGGUCUGAAACAAAACACAAUAUAGUAAAUGGAAGAGAUGGGACCCCUGGGACAGAAAGGGCAUCUUUAGAGAUGACCCACCACUCUCCCAGCCCAUCCUGGUAACUGAACUGCAAAGUCGACUUCUAAAGGCCUUCAACUGUAGCAGAAUACUGAAACAACAUCCUCACGAUACCUCCUUAAAAAACAACAUCCUCACGAUACCUCCUUAAAAACAACAUCCUCACGAUACCUCCUUAAAAACAACAUCCUCACGAUACCUCCUUAAAAACAACAUCCUCACGAUACCUCCUUAAAAAAUUCCUCACAGCACCGCGCUCACCAGGAAAAGACAUUGUGUUUGUUCUCUGGAUGUCUCAAAGUGGCACUGCCCAGUCCUGUUGCCCCUUUAGUCCUAAAGUAUGUGUAUUUUUCUCCCUCCAGCUUAGCUCCUUGCAGGUGUCAUGAUGGAGGAGAGGCCAGAAGUGGCAAUAAUUAUCCUGUCCCAUAGAUGUCACCUUUUCUUCCCAGGCUAGAAGGCAGAGAGGGAUGAGCUGUGACAUCCAGCGAAGAGACAUGAGAUUUAUAACUACAGGUUUUUCAGGCUGAAAACGAAAGGGGAGAAAUGGUGGGGCAGGCAAAAUUCCCAUGGGGCAUAUCCCAGCGUGGCACAUCAGUAAAUCACUUACAGCCGGGAGUGAUUCACAGCCGCAGAUGGAGCUGGAAAGAGUUCAGCCCUGGGGGCCAAUAUCAUCAUAAUUUGGUGUUCCUAUAGGUCUUAAAUCUAAUUUGUUUUCAAAGAGCACUUGGCAAAGGUUUAGAAUGAUCAAUAUUAGAAGAUUGAUGCAGGAGCCAAUGCUGGUGCUGUUUAACAGGUUCUGGCUUACUCCGCCUGCCAUGUUGUCAACACUCCUUGGGUCAUCCUCCCUGGAGUAGGAUCACCAUAGAGGUUUCCUGAAAGGACAAAAUUGACUUAAGACAUAAGGGGAUCUACAUCAGUGAUGAUGUCCCCAGUGAUCUCAGAGUGGAGAGCUGGGAACUUCGUAAAAUGGUAUUCUAACCCUAGAAAACUUGGUCACUUGCCCUCACCCAAUUUUUUGGCACACAUGUACGUGUUCAUGUGUGUGUGUGUGUGUGUGUGUGUGUGUGUGUGUGUGUGUGUGUGUGUGAACGAGUGUGUAAAUUAGCAGUCAAGCCAACACGAGCACAACUGGGAUAACCAGGAAGAACACUCCGUCCCAGAGCACCUACCAGAACAGGUUGUUUCCAAUGUCUCUGCUUCUACUGCAGCAGCGCCCAGAGUGAAAUAAAAACCCCAAAGGAAAAAGUGGUAGGCCGGGCUGGGAAGCCCACUCAUUCUUCUCUCCUCCGGGGGAGGAUCAGAAAGGAUGGUUUUCUGGGACUGUCAAACUAUUUUUAUUUUUACUUCAUGUGCACUGGGGUGUAGGUGGGGAAGGACUCAGUUUUCUUUAGGGGCCUGGCCAUUGGGAGUUUAGCCAUGCAUGAACUACACAAACUGGACUUGGGCUGCUGCUUCUUCUUCUUCUUCUUCUUCUUCUUCUUCUUCUUCUUCUUCUUCUUCUUCUUCUUCUUCUUCUUCUUCUUCUUCUUCUUCUUCUUCCUCCUCCUCCUCCUCCUCCUCCUCCUCCUCUUCUUCCUCUUCCUCCUCUUCUUCCUCUUCCUCCUCUUCUUCCUCCUCCUCCUCCUCUUCUUCUUCUUUUCACUUCUUUUCUACUACUUCUUCUUCACUUCUUUUUCUACUUCAUCAUUUUCUCCUCCUCAUCAUCAUCCUUCUCUUCCUUCUCUUCUUCCUCCUCCCUUUCCUCUUCCUCUUCCUCUUCUUCCUUCUCCUCCUCUUCCUCCUCCCCCUCCUCUUCCUUCUCUUCCUCUUCCUCCUCCUCAAUUUUCCUCCCCCUCUUCUUUUUUGGUGGGGAGGGGAGCACAAGAUUGAGGGAGCUGACUUGGGAGGACUGGGAAGUGAGUGUGAUCGAGGUUCAUGAUGUGAAAUUAAAAAUAAUCCAUUUUUUAAAGUUAUGAAGAAAAGGCUCUGGGCAAUGAAGGAAGGGAGGCAUGACUACAAAGGCUGAUGGGCAUGGGAUGCUGGCUUCUCCACUCUCUUGUCUUCACUGCUAUCGCUCUCACAUCAGAUUUCCACACACUGUGUAGUGCAUAAAAGCAGAGCCACAGGGGCUGGGGAUUUAGCUCAGUGGUAGAGCGCUUACCUAGGAAGCACAAGGCCCUGGGUUCAGUACCCAGCUCCGAAAAAAAGAACCAAAAAAAAAAAAAAAAAGCAGAGCCACAGACAUUUCUCAGAAAUAUGUCCGAAUGUUUUUGUAGAGAGCCGGUUGCAAGCACAUCUUUUAUUAGCCUCUAUUUAGCUUGGACUGCCUUUGCCUGCUUGACAUUGUGAGUUUCUGUGUGUGAGCAUAGUUAAGAGUGCACAGCUCAUGUGGGCUGUGAGAGCUCUUUUGAUUUCAGGAGUGACAGUUCUUCUGGAAAUAACAGUCCUAACCUCCAUCAUCUUUACUGUCUGACUUUAGACCUCAACACUUUUUUAUACACUGGGAUUUCUUCUGUUGUAAAACAAAGACCACUUUCUUCCUUGCAGCAUUGAUGCAGUGGUAAAUAGGACAAAGGCCAGCGCUGCUCGGAGAUAAAUACUGCUUAUCAAGUGCUGUCAACACUCGGCAGAAGACUCUUGGUUGGGAUUGUGGUUUUAGGGACAGGGUAUUUGAAUCCCAUUUGCUUAGCUGACUAAUUAAUCUGUCCCUUUGAUAACUGACAACACUGGUUAGAGUUUUAUCCAUAUAGAGGAGAGACACAUUAAUAGUAGCUUGGGAAGAAAAAGACCACCAACGAAAACCCGUUAGGCAGCUGGUGCAUAAGCCAGUUAUAAGGCAAAAACCCUUCUUGAGAAAUAAAUUAUGCGAAUAAAUGUAUUUUUCCUUGAUGCCAGCCCUGCUUUGAUUUCCCACUCCAGCAAAGGGAAAUCAUCACAAACUCUAAAACAAGGCUACCUCGCCUUCCUUCCAUUCUAGCUUAGGCCACAGGGUCGGGCAUUGCUUGGGUAAGGUACUUGAUUUUCAGACUUGGUUGCCUGAUCUUUAAGAGGAAGCAAAUACUAACAGGUGCCUCGCUGAACUGUCCUGAACAACAGAGGACGUGGAUGUGUAGCGUUCAGAAUAGUUCUUUCCUGGAAGUGAGCAUAGCAUACUUCUUCUUGGCCACAUCAGGGAUACAAGUGGAACAAUGUGGCUCACGGCCCCUAGAGGACAGCAGAGCAAUAAUUACAGACACGAACAGUGACAGAGGCAUAUCAGUUAUCAAAGAGGAUGCACCCUCUAAGGAGAAAGCAGGUGAGGAGAAGGCUGCUCCUUGCCAUGAAACACGGAAGUUGAGCUAGGGACCAUGCACACCUUGGUUAGGGAAGCCAUCAUAAUAGCCCGAAUAAUCAGUGUAAGGAAAGUUAAGGACAUAGGCCAGUGCCCUGACAGGAAGAAUCCAGGAACGGCUGAGACACACUUCUGCAAAGGCGUCACCAGAGGUCCAUCCAGUUGACCUUGGCUGUUGAGGCUGUGGACCGUGCUGCUCUGUCUCUCUGGGACCUGGGUUUUCUCACAGCACACCAGCUGGGUUACGAGAAUGAGUAACAAAUUAAGGACAGACAGAAACCACAUCACACCGUGUGGCCCAGCCUCUGACAAGAUGAAGGUCACAAAUCUGCCUCUUCUGAGGGGCACAGGGUACAGACCCCACUUACUCUGUGGUUUUUGUUUUGUUUUGUUUUGUUUUGUUUCAGUUUGCUCUGUCAUAG